rnacentral:rRNA from 1 species
AGUGAACGCUGGCGGUAGGCCUAACACAUGCAAGUCGAACGGCAGCACAGUAAGAGCUUGCUCUUACGGGUGGCGAGUGGCGGACGGGUGAGGAAUACAUCGGAAUCUACUUUUUCGUGGGGGAUAACGUAGGGAAACUUACGCUAAUACCGCAUACGACCUACGGGUGAAAGCAGGGGAUCUUCGGACCUUGCGCGAUUGAAUGAGCCGAUGUCGGAUUAGCUAGUUGGCGGGGUAAAGGCCCACCAAGGCGACGAUCCGUAGCUGGUCUGAGAGGAUGAUCAGCCACCCUGGAACGGAGACACGGUCCAGACUCCUACGGGAGGCAGCAGUGGGGAAUAUUGGACAAUGGGCGCAAGCCUGAUCCAGCCAUACCGCGGGGGUGAAGAAGGCCUUCGGGUUGUAAAGCCCUUUUGUUGGGAAAGAAAAGCAGCAGGUUAAUACCCCGCUGUUCGGACGGUACCCAAAGAAUAAGCACCGGCUAACUUCGG